CCCCGCGACGCCCCCUCCUCUCCUGGGCGCCGCGCGGCGCCCCGCCCCCUCGACGCCCCCUCCCCGCCGUGGUGGGGAGGAGCUCGUAGUUGGGGGAGGGGUCUGGAGAUGGAGAGUGGAUGGUGUGGAGGAGGCCCGGGGGAGUGUGGGGACCUGAGCGAGGUCGGGGAGCGGAUGCUGCGCCUACCACCUCGUGUGCAGGGACUCGGGACCUAAAGGGACUUUCGUGAUUCCGUGGCUCCUGGGGAAGACGGCAAGGUAACCCAGAGCUACCGUGGAGCCCCAGGAGAGAGGUAGCCUGGGGUCCAGUGCAUGAAAAGUGAAAUACAUGGACCUGAAGUGAGGCAGCAGAGGGAACAAGACAGCCCAGGGCAAGGCAGGUUGGCUGGCCAGCCCCAAGCCCUCUGACAGAAAAGCCAGCAGCAGGCUGCAUCUCUGAGG